UCCAAUGUCAAGGCUUCCGGGUGGCCCAGCACAAAAGCUAUUACUUUAUGUUGUGUUCAAGAAGUCUUUGAAUAGUAGUGCAGAGCCAAAAUCAUUCCAGCUUCUCUCCUAACUCAGGCAAAAGGCCUGGCAGGCAAAGCCUGUAAUGGUGGGAACCGAAACCACCCCUUCAAGCAAGAAUGACAUUCCUGACACCAGCAAGAGCCCACAUGAUUGAUCCCAAGACAAUGAUCCACCUGACCUUUACUGCUCAGCUCCAUGUACCAACCAACAUUUGUCCUACGUUUUCCUCAUAUAAACCUAGAAGUAUUUUCAGCACUUUGAAGACAGCCUUUGGGACUCUAGUCCUUGUCUUACUGGUAUAGGCUUCACUGAAAUAAAUUCUUUUCCUGUUUCACCA